ensembl:lncRNA
CAUUUACUCAACCUCACAAUGCUGAAAGCUAUAUGACUUUAUUUCUCUGUUCAAACAACAUUAGACCUCAGUGUCUUUCAUCGUGUGCACAUUCUUCAAAAUAUCUUCUUUUGUGUUCUGCAGAAGUAGAGAGUCACAAGUUUGGAACAACAUGAAGUGAGAGUUACUCAUUUCCAUUCAGAGUGGAACACUCCAUCUGACCUGUGCUCAAGGAGAAAUCUCUGAAAACCUUGCUUUUGAAGGCCUCGCUAUUGGCAGGUGUGUGGUGAAGAAAAGAAAGACAGCUGUGCAGGCAACUGGACAGACAAGUAAAAGGUGGCCAGAGAUGAGGCAAGCUGGCAGGCAGUUUCACAUCAAUAUCCAAACUAGCCACCAGGGUACACAGAUAUGGCCAGGGACGUUUAAAG